rnacentral:rRNA from 1 species
UAGCCGUAAACGAUACUCGCUAGGUGUCGGCCACGGUGCGACCGUUGUCGGUGCCGUAGGGAAGCCGUGAAGCGAGCCACCUGGGAAGUACGGCCGCAAGGCUGAAACUUAAAGGAAUUGGCGGGGGAGCACAACAACGGGAGGAGCUUGCGGUUUAAUUGGAUUCAACGCCGGAAAUCUUACCAGGACCGACAGCAACAUGAAGGCCAAGCUGAAGACUUUGCCGGAUUAGCUGAGAGGAGGUGCAUGGCGUAGUCGUGU